rnacentral:lncRNA from 1 species
CGCCGCGCCGCACACGCAUAGCACCACCAGCUGUCUCUGCAAGCAAAGCUCUGUCACUCAACACUUCGAAAGCCAGCAUUCAGCAUGCGGCUGCCCUGACCGAUAGUCUUUAGGAGAUAUCUAGGAGCUGAGGAUGAGGAGCGAGGAGACACUCACGAGCGCGUCCAUGUCGGGGCCGAGCUGUGGCACGACUGGCGCGCGCAGCACUGCAGCUCCCGCGCGUCGCGUGCAGCCUGCUGCACCGGCACUGCUCACUUCCUAUCAAUAUAGUUUGUUUGCUGCCGAUCUGAUACUAUUCAAUAAUGCCCAACAUUCUCUACAAUUUGUUGUCUACAUUCAUGAAUACUAAAACUGAUCUGAUUGUUUGACCGUCUGUCUCAAUCUUCAUUAGUAAGCGAGACGAGAGCUAGUCGUGUUGUCACUGUGGGUUUAAAGCAGACGUGUGAUAGAGACAUUAAUGCUGUGAGUAUCUAGACCGAGGUCAUUGUAUGUUCAGAUUAGUAUGUUCAUACAGUAGGCAUGCCAACUUCAAUCGCAACUGCGAGUAAUAUGGCUAGCACAAGCGUGCGGAGUUAGCGGGCGCCGGAGCACUCGUGUUGACAGUGCGCGGCGCUUCCUUCCGCGUGGCGGCGCGGCCGGUGCGUGCGACUCACGUGUAAUUAUACCGCAGCAAUGCACUAAAAACUA